rnacentral:rRNA from 1 species
GACGAACGUUGGCGGCGUGCUUAACACAUGCCAGUCGAACGGAAAGGCCCUGAUCUUGUGGGGUGCUCGAGUGGCGAACGGGGGAGUAACACGUGAGUAACCUGCCCUUGACUUUGGGGUAACUUCAGGAAACAGGGGCUAAUACCGGAUAGGAGCUUCUGCUGCAUGGGGGGGGUUGGAAAGAUUCGGCGGUUGGGGAUGGACUCGCAGGUUAUCAGCUUGUUGGUCGGGUAGUGGCUUACCAAGGGUUUGACGGGUAGCCGGCCUGAGAGGGUGGCCGGGGACAAGAGGACUGAGAGAGGCAGCAGUCGGGAACCGGAGGCAGUGGGGGGGAGUAUGGCGGAGUAGGGGGGAGUCUGUGGCGGAGGCGUCGGGUGCGUAAAGACGUGCUUCGGGGGAAGAACAGAUGUGUACGGAGAUGAGGAGAGAGUGACGGUAAUGGGUAAGGAAGCAACGGCUAACUACGUG